AAGAAUUUCGGUAUGGGAUGGGGAUGCGUUCCAUUAGUUAGUUGGCGGGGUAACGGCCCACCAAGACAACGAUGGAUAGGGGUUCUGAGAGGAAGGUCCCCCACAUUGGAACUGAGACACGGUCCAAACUCCUACGGGAGGCAGCAGUGAGGAAUAUUGGUCAAUGGACGAGAGUCUGAACCAGCCAAGUAGCGUGAAGGAUGACUGCCCUAUGGGUUGUAAACUUCUUUUAUAUGGGAAUAAAAUGUUCCACGUGUGGGAUUUUGUAUGUACCAUAUGAAUAAGGAUCGGCUAACUCCGUGCCAGCAGCCGCGGUAAUACGGAGGAUCCGAGCGUUAUCCGGAUUUAUUGGGUUUAAAGGGAGCGUAGGUGGAUUGUUAAGUCAGUUGUGAAAGUUUGCGGCUCAACCGUAAAAUUGCAGUUGAAACUGGCAGUCUUGAGUACAGUAGAGGUGGGCGGAAUUCGUGGUGUAGCGGUGAAAUGCUUAGAUAUCACGAAGAACUCCGAUUGCGAAGGCAGCUCACUGGACUGCAACUGACACUGAGGCUCGAAAGUGUGGGUAUCAAACAGGAUUAGAUACCCUGGUAGUCCACACAGUAAACGAUGAAUACUCGCUGUUUGCGAUAUACAGUAA
rnacentral:rRNA from 1 species